GCGGGGGUACCCGAGUCAGGUCUAAGGGGCAGGACUUAAGAUCCUGCGGCCGUAGGGCCUUCGCAGGUCCGAAUCCUGCCCCCCGCACCA
rnacentral:tRNA from 2 species